CCGCGAGGCAUCCAGUGCGGUAACGCAACCGAUCCCGGAGAAGCUGGCGGAAGCCCCGGGGAGAGUUCUCUUUUCUUUGUGAAGGGAAUGGCGCCCUGGAAUGGGUUCGCCCCGAGAGUGGGGCCCAAGCCCUGGAAAGCAUUGUGGUUUCGGCAGCAUCUGGUGAGCUCUCCCUGGCCCUUGGAAAUCUGGGGGAGAGGGUGUAAAUCUCACGUG
rnacentral:ncRNA from 1 species